GCGCUUAGUUGUCAAGUCUACGUUGCAAGAUCAUUAGUAGCAUUCAUGUUGUAGUCAUGAGGAGAAAAAUUGCCUGCUUCAUUCUGCUGUGCUUUUCAACUCCCAUUUUCUUGAAUUUGACAACCAAUCCCGAAUCAAAUGAAGCCAUCCCGGUUCAAUUAAGUGCACUACCAAUGAACCAAGCCAUAUUUUUCAUCGAGACCAACCAGACCCGUCAAACUAUGAGCGAAAAUAUGAUAUGUGCAGUGGAGUAGUGCAGCCAAGAGAAACCCCAAAACUCCAGUGUUUGCGUUGUUUCCGGAUUCCAAGCCUUUCUGUGACAUUUCCCACAGACCUCUUGCAUUUACCCAAUGUUUUUGUUCGGAAGGUGAAUUAUGCCGACAUUUUAGAUCACGAUCUGGUCAAAUAAGUUGAUAUUGCCAAAGCUAAAUCGGCGGAAAACAAGUUUUACCUCAGCCAUUUAAGCGACUUGCUUCGUCAACUCUUGCUAUAUAAAAUCGGAGGUAUUUACAUGGAUACCGAUAUCAUCACGUUAAAAAGAAUGCAUAAGAGUUUUGCGGGGACCAAUUACUUGUACUUUGCUGCUCCUGGCAAGAUUGC